rnacentral:lncRNA from 1 species
CCUCAGACCAGAAUCAGUCCUGAAUAAAUCACUAUCGGGGAGAUGAUGUCCUAAGCCGGCCACAAAGUAGGAGGAAGGUACUCAAAUUCUGUAUUUUAUAAGGAGGGGAAAUUACUGGACCCAAGGCAAUGGAUUAGAAAUUACCCUCUAAGAUAAAACAGCAUCUGUUUCAAUUUCUAGCCAUGUCAAGAGCACCGAUAUUGAGAAAUGGUGAAAGCAAAGUCGGCUUUGACCCAACAGCUCCGGGCGCCUACAAACAAUAUACACAUAUACAUAUACAUUUAUACACACCCGUACAGAUGUGUCAAUAGGGAAAUACAACAGCCUCCUCUAGAGCAAUAGGAAAAAGCAGCCUUUAUUACGUGGCGUUACAGCACACUCUCUAAUUCAGGACAAAAAAGCCAGGACUGCCCAAGAGCAUCAGGGGUGGCGGGCAGUGGGCAAGAAGGAGAUAAAGCCGCAGCCACAGAAAUCCAAGACCACUCCAGCCACCCCCAACCCUGGGACCUUUUCUAGCUCUAGCUCGGACUCCAGGCUUCCUGCCGGCCCCCUCAGGUCUUGGCCUGGGCCCUCAGCGUUCCUUUCCGCUGUCGCAGGAGCCUCCUCGCAGUAAUGGAUGGCCCCAGGACUUGGUCCCCUUAGCCUUGGGCCUGGACCUUGCCUGGUUUGCCUGGUCCGCUCUCCCUCCUCCCCGGAGCGCUCGGGCCGCGGCUCCGGACAGGCAGCCGGCCCGAGCGUUUCUGACGGCUUCGGCCGCCCGCCCGCCCUCCCUCCUUGCGCCGAAUGCUCUAUGGAUUCUGCCCGCUGCUGGACCACGAACAUCGGCGCUUCGUGGAAGCUGCCGGGAGAUUCAGGAGACGGCAGUGCGCAUUUGGGGGGAUUAGGAAAGGACUGGGAGGGAGGGGAGGGGUCCAGUCUAGGAGCCGCAGGAACGGAAGGGCCGGCUCCGAACUCCGCAUCACAAAUCAGCCAGCUUGUCAGCCCCCCGACGGGCUUCCCUGUUGCAAUCCUAGCCACAGGAGAUCUGUAGCAGGAGGUGGAAGAGACAUGGAAGGAGAGGAUGAGUUGGAUGCUGGGGAAGAAAAUGGCGAGGAGCCAAGUUUGCUUGAGAUCUAUUUAUAUCCUGUACUCCAAAGAGUUCUUAUCAUGAAGUCCACAGAUAGAUAGAGGAGACCAUACAAAGACUUUAGGGGAACCUGUGAAUUUUUGUUUGAUAUUUUAA